UUUGACCUCAGAUUAGACGUGACUACCCGCCGAAUUUAA
rnacentral:rRNA from 1 species